GAAUGGCCAGCCUCUCUCUAUAACUCUGGCCUUGGCAGCAUCCUCGUAAAUCUCUGCACUCUUUCAAAUCUUCUCUGAAACAGGAAACCAAAACUGUACACAAUACUCCAAGUGUGAGAUCACCAACAACUUAUAAAGUCACAUUUUGAAGGCAAGAGACAGUAAAAACACAGCACCAUUGAUGUUAGCAGGAGCACGUGAUCCAUCCCAAUACUGAAGUCAAUGACCAUCUCUUUCGUUGAUAUGGAGGGAAAGAUUGUUGCCAUAACACCACAUCAGAGCUCCAGGCAAGAAAUCUUUCUCUUCACAUCAUGAUGUCAUUGAAGAUAACGUUCACUUCAGAUGCAAAGACAAGAAUGGACCCUAUCCUCUCUGCUACGUUUUGUAACAUGUUAAAUGUUAAGCUAAUUCAAAGGAAGACACAGGAGACUGAAAUAUGCCUGAAAACCCAGUUCCUGUAGUACAUUGAACAACAUCUUCAUACAGAGACUGGGCAAGACUAUCCUUAAAAGAGAGGCUGCAAAAAGAUCUUUUCAACGAGGUGACCAUUGUCACCACUUGCUAUUUUACAUGAUUAUGGCCGGUAAAGUCAUCCUGCUGAAAAAUUUUAAAUGUAUGCAGAGGUGAUGUCUGAUGAGAACAUAACUUCUCUAGACAUAAAAACAAAUAUUCAACUGCAUAUAACCUGUUGUAUGUCUAUCCCACACAAGAGAGCAAGUGGGAGCCUAACCAUGUGCAAAGUAUGCACAAAAUUGAGUAAUAAGGUAUGAAUUGAGUAGAUUUGGUAUCUCAAUUCCUUGUCAUAUUAAAAUCCAUGAUGUGAUGCCAAACAAGUGUUC